ensembl:snoRNA
UGCACUUGUGCAUGUUUUUGCUUAACUUGUGGAUGAAAUCUUAGAGACAGGUGCAAAAAAUAAAUCCUCUUUUGCAACCCAGAACUCAUUGUCAGUAUGAGUUUUGAUACUUAUAUAAAGGGAUAUU